UCGAAGCCUGCAAAUGACCCGUGAACUUGUCAUCAACAUGUUGUGGGAGUGUCGGGAGAUAAUCCCGUUGCUUCCCCGUGCAAGUGGUGGGCGAUCGUGUCGUUAUAAUGGCGGCACGAUUGCUCGACAUUUGGACAAAACUAACCAACCCCGGCGCGGCAUGCGCCAAGGAACCUUGCAUUGAAUGUGGUCGUUCCGAAAAUCGGAUGCAGCGACCGUGUCGUCGACCACUUUUUCAUUACACAAAACGACUCUCGGCACACGGAUAUCUAGGCUCUUGCAUCGAUGAAGAACGUAGCGAAAUGCGAUACUUGGUGUGAAUUGCAGAAUCCCGUGAACCAUCGAGUCUUUGAACGCAAGUUGCGCCCGAAGCCUCCUGGCCAAGGGCACGUCUGCCUGGGUGUCACACAUCAUCCCCACCGGACCAAACAACUCAUCGUAGGCGUUUGGUAAGAGGAUGGGCGGAAAAUGGUCUCCCGUGCGCUUCAUGAUCGCGGUUGGCCUAAAAUUAAAUUCCUGGUGAUCGCAAGCCAUGACCAGCGGUGGUUGAAAGACCCUCGAUGGGUGUCGUGAGAACUUGCAUCGCAUGUUGGGAGACGCUGACCCUGAUCGUGUUUGUUAUGUAUAACACUCUACAAGUGACCCCAGGUCAGGCGGGACUACCCGCUGAGUUUAAGCAUAUCAA
rnacentral:misc_RNA from 1 species